rnacentral:piRNA from 1 species
UGUAAGAAUUUGGUGCAUCA